AUAGCAAAGUCUUAAUAAUUGGUGGUUUAAUAUAUAUUUAUUCAAUUGCUCCAAGGUCUUUGCUAAAUUAAUUGAAUGGUUUCGCUAACACUACUCGAAAGCUUUUAGCUUAAAUGAGUUGAGUUUGAUAGUAGCUUUUCAACAGUA
rnacentral:snoRNA from 1 species